rnacentral:rRNA from 1 species
AGGAAUUGGCGGGGGAGCACAACAACGGGUGGAGCCUGCGGUUUAAUUGGACUCAACGCCGGACAACUCACCGGGGGCGACAGCAAUAUGUAGGCCAAGCUGAAGACUUUGCCUGAAUCGCUGAGAGGAGGUGCAUGGCCGUCGCCAGUUCGUACUGUGAAGCAUCCUGUUAAGUCAGGCAACGAGCGAGACCCGUGCCCACUGUUACCAGCAUAUUCUCCGGAAUGAUGGGUACUCUGCGGGGACCGCCUAUGUUAAAUAGGAGGAAGGUGCGGGCCACGGUAGGUCAGUAUGCCCCGAAUCUCCCGGGCUACACGCGGGCUACAAUGGAUGGGACAAUGGGUCCCUCCCCCGAAAGGGGCUGGUAAUCUCACAAACCCAUUCGUAGUUCGGAUCGAGGGCUGUAACUCGCCCUCGUGAAGCUGGAAUCCGUAGUAAUCGCGUUUCAACAUAGCGCGGUGAAUACGUCCCUGCUCCUUGCACACACCGCCCGUC